rnacentral:rRNA from 1 species
GACGAACGCUGGCGGCGUGCUUAACACAUGCAAGUCGAACGAUGAAGCCGGAGCUUGCUCCGGCGGAUUAGUGGCGAACGGGUGAGUAACACGUGAGCAAUCUGCCCUUGACUCUGGGAUAACCGCGGGAAACCGUAGCUAAUACAGGAUACGACACCUUGGGCCAUCCCAGGGUGUGGAAAGACUUGCGGACAAGGAUGAGCUCGCGGCCUAUCAGCUAGUUGGUGAGGUAAUGGCUACCCAAGGCGACGACGGGUAGCCGGCCUGAGAGGGGGACCGGCCACACGGGAACUGAGACACGGUCCAGACUCCUACGGGAGGCAGCAGUGGGGAAUAUUGCACAAUGGGCGAAAGCCUGAUGCAGCAACGCCGCGUGAGGGAUGAAGGCCUUCGGGUUGUAAACCUCUUUUAGCAGGGAAGAAGCGAAAGUGACGGUACCUGCAGAAAAAGCACCGGCUAACUACGUGCCAGCCGCCGCGGUAA